rnacentral:rRNA from 1 species
GACGAACGCUGGCGGCGUGCUUAACACAUGCAAGUCGAGCGAUGAAGCACCUUCGGGUGUGAAUUAGCGGCGAACGGGUGAGGAACACGUGAGAAAUCUGCCUUCAACACUGGGAUAACUCCGGGAAACCGGGGCUAAUACCGGAUAUGAAACCUGCGGGCAUCCGCGGGUUUGGAAAGUUUUUCGGUUGAAGAUGAUCUCGCGGCCUAUCAGCUUGUUGGUGAGGUAAUGGCUCACCAAGGCGACGACGGGUAGCCGGCCUGAGAGGGCGACCGGCCACACUGGGACUGAGACACGGCCCAGACGCCUACGGGAGGCAGCAGUGGGGAAUAUUGGGCAAUGGAGGAAACUCUGACCCAGCGACGCCGCGUGCGGGAUGAAGGCCUUCGGGUUGUAAACCGCUUUCAGCAGGGAAGAAGCGAAAGUGACGGUACCUGCAGAAGAAGCACCGGCUAACUAUGUGCCAGCAGCCGCGGUAA